rnacentral:rRNA from 1 species
UACGUAGGGCGCAAGCGUUAUCCGGAAUUAUUGGGCGUAAAGAGCUCGUAGGCGGUUUGUCGCGUCUGCCGUGAAAGUCCGGGGCUCAACUCCGGAUCUGCGGUGGGUACGGGCAGACUAGAGUGCGGUAGGGGUGACUGGAAUUCCUGGUGUAGCGGUGAAAUGCGCAGAUAUCAGGAGGAACACCGGUGGCGAAGGCGGGUCUCUGGCCGAUACUGACGCUGAGGAGCGAAGCGUGGGAGCGAACAGG